rnacentral:rRNA from 1 species
GGACGGAGGAUGCAAGUGUUAUCCGGAAUCACUGGGCGUAAAGCGUCUGUAGGUGGUUUAAUAAGUCAACUGUUAAAUCUUGAGGCUCAACCUCAAAAUCGCAGUCGAAACUAUUAGGCUAGAGUAUAGUAGGGGUAAAGGGAAUUUCCAGUGGAGCGGUGAAAUGCGUAGAGAUUGGAAAGAACACCGAUGGCGAAGGCACUUUACUGGGCUAUUACUAACACUCAGAGACGAAAGCUAGGGUAGCAAAUGGGGA